GUGAUGCUAGGGAACUCGGAGUUCGACAGCCUUGUUGACCUCAUCAGCUACUAUGAGAAACACCCGCUAUACCGCAAGAUGAAGCUGCGCUAUCCCAUCAACGAGGAGGCACUGGAGAAGAUUGGCACAGCUGAGCCUGACUACGGGGCCCUGUAUGAGGGACGCAACCCUGGCUUCUAUGUAGAGGCAAACCCUAUGCCAACUUUCAAGUGUGCAGUCAAAGCCCUCUUUGACUACAAGGCCCAGAGGGAGGACGAGCUGACCUUCACCAAGAGCGCCAUCAUCCAGAAUGUGGAGAAGCAAGAGGGAGGCUGGUGGCGAGGGGACUACGGAGGGAAGAAGCAGCUGUGGUUCCCAUCAAACUACGUGGAAGAGAUGGUCAACCCCGUGGCCCUGGAGCCGGAGAGGGAGCACUUGGACGAGAACAGCCCCCUAGGGGACUUGCUACGGGGGGUCUUGGAUGUGCCGGCUUGUCAGAUUGGUGAGCUCCCAUCCGUUUCUCUUGCCCACUGUUCCUAGGGUGAGGUUCUUCUUUGUAUCUCUUUCCUGCUCCUAGGGAGGAAGCUGAUGGCUGAACCCCAA
rnacentral:sRNA from 1 species